GUCAAGAAUGUUGUUUUUGUUUUGGGUAUCCGAUUUCGCAAAAAAUCCAGUAGUGCUUUGGCGGAUCUUUUGCCAUGCUAGGGAAAAAGUGUGAGUUGCUUGAUUUGCUGCCGCUUGCUGAUGCACACCCCGGCGGAACAUAUUUAUUAGCAUCACGCCUACCGGAGAAGCGUCGGUGAACGCAGAAAAAUCGCCUAACGGGGAAGCGUCGGUGAACGCAGGACACUAGUACACCAGCAAGGACUACAAAUUGGUGCGUGGAGAACACCCAACCGGUCCGCUCGCUACGCCCUCAGUGGAGAACAGAUGACAAUGCCCUUCAACAGAAUCGGUGUCCAAGUGAAAGGCCACGUUGACGCCAUUCGGAACCCCAGCGGAGUCGAUUGAACAUCCUGGUCGACAAGUUUCAGCAAUGGAAAGAAAGAAGAACAAACGAUCUGUCCUGAGUGGGUUCGCGAUGCAGGCUACCAGAUUCAGGGACCACAUCCCCACUUGGCUGUUAAAGAAAUGAAUAAACUGUUAACAUAUCCUA